rnacentral:rRNA from 1 species
CUACGGGUUGCAGCAGUAGGGAAUAUUGGACAAUGGGAGAAAGAAUGAGUCAGCAACACCGCGUGCACGGGGCCGGCCUUCGGGUUGUAAAUUUCUUUUCGCGGAGAGGAGAAAGGACAGUAUCCUCUGAAUAAGCCUCGGCGAACUACGUGCCAGCAGCCGCGGUAAAACGUAGGAGGCAAGCGUUAUCCGGAUUUAUUGGGCGUAAAGCGCGUGCAGGCGGUCUAGCAAGUUGGAUGUGAAAGCUCCCGGCUCAACUGGGAGAGGUCGUUCAAUACUGUUAGACUAGAGAAUAGGAGAGGGAGGUGGAAUUCCGGGUGUAGUGGUGAAAUGCGUAGAUAUCCGGAGGAACACCAGUGGCGAAAGCGGCCUCCUGGACUAUUUCUGACGCUAAGACGCGAAAGCUAGGGUAGCAAACGGGAUUAGAUACCCCGGUAGUC